AUUGAACGCUGGCGGCAGGCUAAACACAUGCAAGUCGAGCGGAGUGGUGUGCUUGCACUAUCACUUAGCGGCGGACGGGUGAGUAAUGCUUAGGAAUCUGCCUAUUAGUGGGGGACAACAUUUCGAAAGGAAUGCUAAUACCGCAUACGUCCUACGGGAGAAAUCAGGGGAUCUUCUGUCCUUGCGCUAAUAGAUGAGCCUAAGUCGGAUUAGCUAGUUGGUGGGGUAAAGGCCUACCAAGGCGACGAUCUGUAGCGGGUCUGAGAGGAUGAUCCGCCACACUGGGACUGAGACACGGCCCAGACUCCUACGGGAGGCAGCAGUGGGGAAUAUUGGACAAUGGGCGGAAGCCUGAUCCAGCCAUGCCGCGUGUGUGAAGAAGGCCUUAUGGUUGUAAAGCACUUUAAGCGAGGAGGAGGCUACUUUAGUUAAUACCUAGAGAUAGUGGACGUUACUCGCAGAAUAAGCACCGGCUAACUCUGUGCCAGCAGCCGCGGUAAAAC
rnacentral:rRNA from 1 species